AUUUGAGUGGUGCAUUGGUAUUGGCUUGGGACCUGGGAGUGUACUCCUCUUGAGGUCUGAGGUUCGAUUCUCUCUGGCGCCAAUUUGAGUGGGCUAAUUUAGCUUCUUCAAAAAAAAAAAAAAAAAAAAACCGCUCAAAUGAAGAAAACGAAAAAGCGAAACUUCUCUUUCCCUCCGCCGCGAGCUUCGCUCCUUCGAUCAUGAACUUCUCUCCCUCCGCCGCUUAACUGAAACCAUCUCCUUGCUCUCCCUUCGUCGCGUCUCUUCCUCCACCGUCAGAUUCAUUUGUCCCUGAUGAGCAAGGGAAGCUCUUUUCUACUUCAGUUGAUGGAUUGUUCUGCAUAUUUGAUACUAGUGGAGAUAUCAAUGAUAAUGAUCAUCUAGUACUGGUUGAUUCUAGGUGAAAAAAAGACUAGAGGUUAUACACAACUAAAGGUACAACUGAAAGUUCAACUAAAGGUAUUAACGAAGCCAGUUUUAUUGGCUUAUGUGUUUGUGUGGAUAGCUAUCUGUGAGCCUUGGAUGCAAGUUAUAUGCUUCCCAUGUGAGUACACUAUUUGGUUUUUAUGAUGCUUCAAUAUAUGGAUACAAGUGAGAUAUUUCACUUGUGAUGUUACACUAUAUGCAUAGUAUUAGAUCUAUUUUUAAUAAUGCUAAGUGCAUCUCUAAAUGUAUUUGGCUAUUAAUUCUCUGUUUUUAAUAAGCCUAGAUUUAGUUCUCUGUUUUGGUUCUCUGAUAUAUAGGAACCUCAAUAGGGGUAAAUUGGAAUACUAUUAUGUAUCCUGCAGAUGACAUUUCAGUCUUGUUUUGUACCAUUGAUUGGUAGUAAUAAGACUUAUCUCUAUAAUCAUCAAGGUACAACCAGAAUAAUUGGUAGUAA